rnacentral:lncRNA from 1 species
GGCCCCCGUGGGGACUUCAGCAAGUUUUUAGCCCUUCCUUGCCUCUACUACCGGCCCUUGUUGAUGACCAACGUGUGUCUUCUAUAAUGUUUCUAAGUCUUUCGUAUCAAGCUGAAGUCGAUUUACAUGGCUUGCAGUACUUGUUUUGUGAUGGUCCUUGUGGGCUAACAUUUAUUCUCCCCACCCAAAACCAACGAAAAAACUUAAAAUAUG